rnacentral:rRNA from 1 species
GACGAACCGUGCGAACGUUAUUCGGAAUCACUGGGCUUAAAGCGCGUGUAGGCGGGACGGCACGUCCGUCGCUGAAAUCCCCCGGCUCAACCGGGGAACGGGCGCGGAUACGACCGUCCUUGAGGGGCGUAGGGGGACCUGGAACUUCCGGUGGAGCGGUGAAAUGCGUUGAGAUCGGAAGGAACGCCCGCGGCGAAAGCGAGGUCCUGGACGCCUACUGACGCUGAGACGCGAAAGCCAGGGGAGCGAACGGG